rnacentral:rRNA from 1 species
AGCUCCAAUAGCGUAUAUUAAAGUUGUUGCGGUAAAAAAGCUCGUAGUUGGAUUUCUGCCGAAUCUGUCUCGUCCGCACCAUGUGCGUGUAUGUAGUUCGGGUUUGGCAUCCUCGCCGACGAAGUUUCUGCGCUUGAUUGCGUGGAGCUAAGUUUGCGACUUUUACUUUGAGGAAAUUGGAGUGUUCACAGCAGGCUAUUGCCCGAACAUAUUAGCAUGGAAUAAUACCAUAGGAUCUCGACCCUAUUUUGUUGGUUUCUAGAGUUGAGAUAAUGAUUAAUAGGGACAAUUGGGGGCAUCCGUAUCAACGCGUCAGAGGUGGAAUUCUUGGAUUGCGUUGCGACGAACUACUGCGAAAGCAUUUGCCAAGGAUGUUUUCA